GCAGUGGUGGUUCAGUGGUAGAAUUUUCACUUUCCAUGUGGGAGACCUGGGUUCAAUCCCCAACCUCAUUU
rnacentral:tRNA from 1 species